rnacentral:rRNA from 1 species
CGGGUGGCAGCAGCAGUGGGGAAUAUUGCACAAUGGAGGAAACUCUGAUGCAGCAACGCCGCGUGGAGGAUGACACUUUUCGGAGCGUAAACUCCUUUUAUAUAGGAAGAAGAUGACGGUACUAUAUGAAUAAGCGCCGGCUAACUCCGUGCCAGCAGCCGCGGUAAUACGGAGGGCGCAAGCGUUACUCGGAAUCACUGGGCGUAAAGAGCGUGUAGGCGGAUUAAAAAGUCAGAAGUGAAAUCCUAUAGCUUAACUAUAGAACUGCUUCUGAAACUCUUAAUCUAGAAUAUGGGAGAGGUAGAUGGAAUUUCUGGUGUAGGGGUAAAAUCCGUAGAGAUCAGAAGGAAUACCGAUUGCGAAGGCGAUCUACUAGAACAUUAUUGACGCUGAGACGCGAAAGCGUGGGGAGCAAACAGGAUUAGAUACCCCAGUAGUC